rnacentral:rRNA from 1 species
CCCUUAGAUGUCCUGGGCUGCACGCGCGCUACACUGAUGUGUCCAGUAAGCACCUAACCUCUUCCGAAAGGAACGGGUAACCUUUGCAAAGCACAUCGUGAUGGGGAUAGAUUAUUGCAAUUAUUAGUCUUGAACGAGGAAUUCCUAGUAAGCACAAGUCAUCAGCUUGUGUUGAUUACGUCCCUGCCCUUUGUACACACCGCCCGUCGCUCCUACCGACUGAAUGUUCCGGUGAGCUCUUCGGACUGCGCGGUCUGCAGUUUCUGCGUUCCGUGCGGAAAGUUGCGCAAACCUUAACAUUUAGAGGAAGGAGAAGUCGUAACA